rnacentral:rRNA from 1 species
GACGAACGCUAGCGGCGUGCUUAACACAUGCAAGUCGAACGGAAAGGCCCUGCUUUUGUGGGGUGCUCGAGUGGCGAACGGGUGAGUAACACGUGAGUAACCUGCCCUUGACUUUGGGAUAACUUCAGGAAACUGGGGCUAAUACUGGAUAGGAGCUCCUGCUGCAUGGUGGGGGUUGGAAAGUUUCGGCGGUUGGGGAUGGACUCGCGGCUUAUCAGCUUGUUGGUGGGGUAGUGGCUUACCAAGGCUUUGACGGGUAGCCGGCCUGAGAGGGUGACCGGCCACAUUGGGACUGAGAUACGGCCCAGACUCCUACGGGAGGCAGCAGUGGGGAAUAUUGCACAAUGGGCGGAAGCCUGAUGCAGCAACGCCGCGUGCGGGAUGACGGCCUUCGGGUUGUAAACCGCUUUCGCCUGUGACGAAGCGUGAGUGACGGUAAUGGGUAAAGAAGCACCGGCUAACUACGUG